rnacentral:rRNA from 1 species
AUUGAACGCUGGCGGCAUGCCUUACACAUGCAAGUCGAACGGCAGCACGGGUGCUUGCACCUGGUGGCGAGUGGCGAACGGGUGAGUAAUGCAUCGGAACAUGUCCUGUAGUGGGGGAUAGCCCGGCGAAAGCCGGAUUAAUACCGCAUACGAUCUACGGAUGAAAGCGGGGGACCUUCGGGCCUCGCGCUAUAGGGUUGGCCGAUGGCUGAUUAGCUAGUUGGUGGGGUAAAGGCCUACCAAGGCGACGAUCAGUAGCUGGUCUGAGAGGACGACCAGCCACACUGGGACUGAGACACGGCCCAGACUCCUACGGGAGGCAGCAGUGGGGAAUUUUGGACAAAGGGCGAAAGCCUGAUCCAGCAAUGCCGCGUGUGUGAAGAAGGCCUUCGGGUUGUAAAGCACUUUUGUCCGGAAAGAAAUCCUUGGCCCUAAUACGGUCGGGGGAUGACGGUACCGGAAGAAUAAGCACCGGCUAACUACGUG